GGGUGGGGAAUGCUAAAUCGACUUAAGGGCAGAUAAAGGAGAGACUGGAACGCUCACGGAGGUACAGAUCUACGGAAUCACAAUUAGGAACUAUUUCCGCCCACACGAAAGAUGGCGGCUCCCUUGAUGGAGAAAUUAUCGGAAUCUUUAGGUUCCACAGAACCUGCGGUUCGGUUGAUUUUGUCCGUUUUAGUCGGGUACCCCUGUGCCCUGCUGUACCGGAGAUUCUUCUUCCACCAGCCACCCACAGUCAUACACCUGUAUCAUGCCAUCUCCGGGCUGUCUCUGGCUGCUUUCAACUUUGCAGGCGCCCAGCUCUAUCACUCUGCGUUGUGUGUCCUGGUCCAGUUCCUGCUGCUGAGGCUGAUGGGGAGGACGAUAACCAUGGUCCUGAGCAGCUUUAUCUUUCAAAUGGUAUACCUGCUGGCAGGCUACUACUACACUGCUACAGAGGAGUAUGAUAUCAAAUGGACCAUGCCCCAAUGUGUCCUGGCCCUCAAACUUAUUGGUUUAUCGUUUGAUUACUAUGACGGGGGGCAGGAACCGUCCCAGUUGAAUGCAGAGCAACAGAAGUCCGCUCUCGCCAGUGUUCCCUCUCUGCUGGAGAUGACUGGCUUCUCCUACUUCUACGGCGGCUUUCUGGUGGGACCCCAGUUCACACUACGCAGCUACCAGAGGCUGGUCGCGGGGGAGCUCACCGACUGCCCCGGACACCCACCAAACAGUGUUUUGCCUGCCCUGAAGAGGUUUUCCCUUGGCUUCGUCUGCCUGGCAGUGUACCAGAUAUUCAGUCCCUACUACCCGGACAGCUACUACCUAACAGAUGACUACGACGCCCAGCCAUUCUGGUACCGUUGUGUGUUCAUCCUGAUCUGGGCUAAAAUCAUCCUUUACAAAUACGUCAGCUGCUGGGUCAUAGCGGAGGGAGUGUGCAUACUCUCUGGGCUGGGCUAUAAUGGGCGGGGUCAAAAUGGAGAGCACCAAUGGGACGCCUGCGCGAAUAUGAAGGUGUGGACGUUUGAGACCACGCCCCUUUUCACAGGCACCAUCUCCUCCUUCAACAUAAAUACCAAUGCCUGGGUGGCCAGGCACGUGUUCAAGCGAUUGAAGUUCCUGGGCAAUAAACUCUUGUCUCAGGUGACCGCGCUUGCGUUCCUGGCCGUCUGGCACGGCACACACUCUGGAUACCUCCUCUGCUUCUCCAUGGAAUUCAUAAUUGUCAACGUGGAGCGACAGGCCCAGGCGCUGGUGAGGGACAGUCCAUUGCUGACCAAUCUCGCCAACAGCCCCGUCUAUCCUGUCAUCUACGUGGUCCAGCAGUUCUUCCACUGGUUGUUUAUGGGCUAUCCUCUGGUGCCCUUCUGCCUCUUCACUUAUGACAAGUGGUUCAGGGUGUAUUCAUCUGUUUAUUUCUGUGGCCACAUCUUCUUCUUUACAUUGUAUCUAAUGUUGCCGUACCUCCGCAAGGCGCUGGUACCUACAAAAGAACGCAGCGAGAAAAAGGAGGACUAGAACUACAUUAGGAACGAUGCCCUUCUUCCCACCGGUCCAGUACUGCCUGUAAAAUGCCUGCUGUCCUCGUUGAGAAUUUACCAACUUUACCCUCUUCAUGUAAAAAUGAAAGAAAGCAAUUGGGUCUCUGUCUGAAUAUCCACCCACGAUGUGACUGAAGGGAACUGUGACUUUUAACGUGGAACAGAUCAGAAAAUAUUUUACAGCCUUUAGUUCUCUAUAUAUGUAUAUGUAUGUACAUGUACAUAUACAUAUAUAUAUAUAUAUGUGUGUGUGUGUGUGUGUAUAUAUGUAUGUGUACGUUUGUGUACAAAUGUUUCUUUCUAUAUAUUUUUGUGUUUUGGACGGAUGUUUUUUAGGAACUUUGAGAUGGGGUACAGGAAAUAACCAUUGUGCCACAUGGGUAAUUGUGAGCCAAUCUAGGGCGAAUUCUUGCUUUUGGAAGGAGGAAGCGAUGAAGGCCUUGGCCGCUGAUUCGACUUCGCUCUGGCCUUUUACGUCAAAGUGUCGUUGUGGAUCCAGGAGCUUCUGCAAGUGUGCUUGUCUUCUCAGAGCUAGGUGCAGCUCGUAUUCCAUUUAGUUUGUUCCAUAUCUGUUGCUGAACAUCUGCAGUACCACUCCCUUCGUGAAUUUGUUUCACUGAAGAUCUGAUCAAGACAAGGAAGCGCCUGUAUCUCUGCCUCCCGAUUCUGAACAGCAGCGAUACAGCUAAUUGAACGAACAUUCCAAGAAUGUAUAUAUGUAUAUAGGUUUUGUAAGUAAAUGCAGGUUGUAGGCUGAACUUUUUUGACUUGUAAUACUCUAGUAAUAAGCAGUGUAUAUUCUACACACAUUAAAUUUGGGGAAAGCAUUUUGCAUUAUAUCCAUACCUGUAGCUACAUUUGUGUUGUAGUGUUUGUAGUUAUCAGGGGAUUUCCUUGCCUGAGAUGCUGAAAAUAACAGUACUUUCACUAGUUUUCUGCCCUUUUCCCAAGGUUUGCAUUGACCCUCCAAGCUACCACAGUUUUGAUUAGAUGGAUCUCAAUUUAAAUAUGUCAGCGACAGACAGAAAACGAUGUAGCCUCCGUGUGAUAAAUUUAGUUUAAGGAUGUUUGUUCAAAAAGCUGCUGGGUUACAAUUUUUGCCGUCCAAAAUUUUGAAGCAACGAUUAAGGCAACAUCAUGUUGAUCAAAACAGGAGUAGGGAAAAAUGUAACGCAGAUGCGUAAGAAUAAAGACAGGACCGACACGGAACAGCGACAAGCACAUGUGCAGAAGCUUCCGGACCCAUUACUCAUCCAGAGACUUAAGGUCUGAGAGAAGCCGCAUCAGCAGCCACUAAGAAAAAUGAGUAGGUAGAAAGGGAUACACUGAACAUGAGAGACUGAAGUAUUGUGUACACAGAAUAUUGCACUCGCCACUGACGGGUUCUGAGUCCGUCAAAGGCUCCGUUUUAUGAUCUCUUUUGCUGUCUCAACCCUCCACCCCUAGUCCAAACGAGAACCUGCACAGGCAGGCUUAUAAUUCAGACACAUCUGAAAUGCAUUUGGCACUUUCCGAUUUAAUGUAAACCUGCAUUUUAUCAAGAGAACAAAAAACGAAACUUAGCUGCUCUGAUGAUAAUGAUCAUGAUUUGGGGAUGAAGUGUUUUUCAUUGAUCCGUGGGCCAACACACUCACACGAAGCACUGUAAAAGACACUGUACACACACACAUGACUCAAAUGGCCUUGAAUUAUCAAUGAAUGUUAUUUUCAUUUUGUUUCUUUUAUUUAGUGAAGAGAAACUUGAUUUUAUAGAUAUUUUAGGUUGGGGGUGGGAGGGGCAGGGUCUAAAGAUAGACAAUUUUGUAGCUCUGGAUAAGAUUGCUUGAAGGGAUUUCAAUGCUCUCCUUUUCUUCCUCAUGGUUUUCUCAUUGUGUCCCUUCGUCUGCCAUCCUUUUGUCACUUCAUCGACAACCUUCUGUCAGUUUCUGAACCAACUAGAAAACCAACACCCAGCUAAAACAACUAGUAACCAUAAUCACCCAGACGGCAUCACCAGUGGUCUAUACUGAGACCUGAAACGUUCCUCCAUUCUUUUUAGGAAUCUAUAGAAUCUUAUCCCUAACAAUUGAGGCAUGGUCAGAUAGUCUGUUUGGCCUGUCACAUAAUGUGAUCCUGGGUCUGUGUUAAGGGGCACCUUCUGUCUUUCUUUCUCCAAUGCAGACACAUCGGGAGAGCAGUGACUCACUGUAGCAACAAACCAGAUUUUAAUAAUAUUUAUACUUGUGGAAAUGAUUAAUUGAUGUGAAUUAAUUGUUAUUAUUCCAGAGACUACUUUUUUGCCUUAUUGCUACCAAAUGUACAAAGAAAAGAAAAAUGGAAAAAAUAAUUUUAAAUAAACUUUUUGUAAUGUUCAUUAAAAUG